AGUAUGUCUAAGUACGUGCACAUCUUGAUUGUUAUUGCUUUUCUACAAGCACCGUGCUCUUCAACAGACCUCUCAAAUAUGCCACCACCAUCAGAUAUAAAGGAACUAGCAAUUGAUGAUCUAAAAGAUCUCUUGAUAACUUCUAUACAGAAUACAAUGUCCUUACAAAACUUGGUGACUCAACAGACCCAGAUGAUCGUCAACAUCAUGCUUUUGGUAGGAGAAACGUCUACCAAAGUGGAAGAGCUGGAAACAACACUGACUCGGGAAAUGGAGAACUUGAAAGCAACCAUGAACGAGGAAGUUGUUGUCUUGAAAUUGAAACUAGAGACAUUAGAGGAUAGCACUGAAGUGGACAGGCACUCAUUGGAGAUAUUGACUGAAUCAGUGCAAGUUCUAAAAACAAACAGGUUAAGAACAUGGGCCGGGGGGGCAUUUCUUCAUUCUUAAUUUAAUGUUUACAUCGUGUAAUUUAUGGUAUAAAUUAUACAUCGCUCCAUGAUACUGAUAGGACUUAAGUUUUAUUUAGGGCAAGUCCCGACGUGAGAAUGAACUAUUAAGCUAUUUAUAGUACAUAAUCGACUGCUUUAUAGAGGACUCAGGUAUGAUACUUCAGACUUGAAAAAGUAAUGAAGAUUAUUUUUCAGCUCCAAUGUGAAGACCGAAGUGGAAGAGCUGGAAACAACAUUGACCCGGGAAAUGGAGAACACGAAAGCGAACAAGCGCUCACUGGUGACAUUGACUGAAUCAGUACAAGCUCUGCAAACAACCAGUUCGAAUGUGAUGAUUUUAAAUGGUGAAGAGAGCGCUGGAAAUGCCCGAUGUGCCAAAGUGUGUGCUGGAACAACUGGUAGAAGUUCAAGCAGUUAUUCAAUUAAUAGCUCUGUGAGCAUCACUAUAGAUGUAAACAUUAGCGGGUGUGGGUUCGUUAAAAUACCGACAAUAACAACAUCAGUAGAGGGACGUGGCGCUCUCUCCACAGCUACAGGUACCUCUGCGGUUUAUUAUGCAACAAGAACAGGAUUCAUGAUGCACCUCAGUAGGGAAUAUGUUUCUCAUUAUGCAACAAGAUACAACUGGAAUGUUGAAUGGAUCGCAAUAGGCUACACGUGUUAAAAACUAUCUCCAAAACAUCAUCAUGGUGGACACGGAGCUAAGAACUAUUGCAUGGGUUUUUAAUCUUAGUGAAGACUGAAGAUGUAGUUAGUUAGAACUUAGAAGAUGUAUCUAUAUUAUAUUUUUAAUUUUAAACUUGACGAAAUCCCCCGGCAACAAAAAAAACACUGAAAAUUUACCAAAAUUUACCCUUCUUCUUGACCAAUUCCAGCUCGCAAAUGGAGUUGAAACCUCGCAAUUUUUACAAGGGUUAUAGAAAAAGGACAGGAAUAGGAGACAGCAUUCUUAGAAUUUUGAUUUAGGCUUUAGAUUUUGUAUAAUUAACGUCGGAAGUGAGGUAAAAUUAACGUUAGAAUAAUGGCGUUAUUUUAGCAAAGGAUACCUGCAUCGUUGCUUCAAGAGAUUGCACGUGCUCGAGCAAGCACACAUUAGCAACGCGCGUUGCCAUGCUUUAUGAUUCGUCAUGACUAGUUCACUUUUACGCUCACGCUAUGACUAUUCAUAACUUUGGUUGUGAUUGAUAUCUUUUGAUGUGGUAAAAAGUAUCGUUUAGGGAAUCUGAAUACUUACAACGUUGUUGUCAUUGUAAAAUAAAAUCCAUGAUUUCUAAAGUAUAACAUAGCUAGCUAGAUAAGACGAUGAAAAGAAAUUAAAACAUAACUGAUUUAUAAAAUUUCCUCGAACAAAGCUUUCGACUAGCGGGUUUCUAGUAUUGUAUAAUUUAAAGAAACAUUGGUGACUUUUUUAUUUUGGUGACUAUUUUAAUUAUCAAUUUUGUCAGUGAUCAGUUAAUAUCACGAUCAAUAAUAACUGAUCAUGACUAUCAUACAUAGCAUAUACACUUAUUUAGCUUAUUUUCGUAGCUGCGUUAUUAUUCAUUAGGAAGGCCAGAUACUAAUUAAUAAACGAAUGCAGAGGUAUUAAUUAUAAAAAUAUAGUUAAGUUCUGAUGAUCGUUUCAAA